UACGUAGGUGGCGAGCGUUGUCCGGAUUUACUGGGCGUAAAGCGCGCGCAGGCGGCUCGCUGCAUCCGAGGUGAAAUCUCUCGGCUCAACCGGGAGGGGUCUUCGGAAAUGAGCGGGCUUGAGGGCAACAGAGGAGAGCAGAAUUCCCGGUGUAGCGGUGAUAUGCGUAGAUAUCGGGAGGAAUACCAGUGGCGAAGGCGGCUCUCUGGGUUGUCCCUGACGCUGAGGCGCGAAAGCGUGGGGAGCAAACCGG
rnacentral:rRNA from 1 species